GACGAACGCUGGCGGCGUGCCUAAUACAUGCAAGUAGAACGCACAGUUUAUACCGUAGCUUGCUACACCAUAGACUGUGAGUUGCGAACGGGUGAGUAACGCGUAGGUAACCUGCCUGGUAGCGGGGGAUAACUAUUGGAAACGAUAGCUAAUACCGCAUAAUAUUAAUUAUUGCAUGAUAAUUGAUUGAAAGAUGCAACUGCAUCACUACCAGAUGGACCUGCGUUGUAUUAGCUAGUAGGGGAGGUAACGGCCCACCUAGGCGACGAUACAUAGCCGACCUGAGAGGGUGAUCGGCCAAACUGGGACUGAGACACGGCCCAGACUCCUUAGGGAGGCAGCAGUAGGGAAUCUUCGGCAAUGGACGAAAGUCUGACCGAGCAACGCCGCGUGAGGGAAGAAGGGUGUCGGAUCGUAAAGGUCUGUUGUAAGAGAAGAACGGGUGUGAGAGUGGAAAGUUCACACUGUGACGGUAUCUUAACAGAAAGGGACGGCUAACUACGUG
rnacentral:rRNA from 1 species